rnacentral:rRNA from 1 species
AGUGAACGCUGGCGGUAGGCCUAACACAUGCAAGUCGAACGGCAGCACAGUAAGAGCUUGCUCUUACGGGUGGCGAGUGGCGGACGGGUGAGGAAUACAUCGGAAUCUACUUUUUCGUGGGGGAUAACGUAGGGAAACUUACGCUAAUACCGCAUACGACCUACGGGUGAAAGCAGUGGAUCUUCGGACCUUGCGCGAUUGAAUGAGCCGCUGUCGGAUUAGCUAGUUGGCGGGGUAAAGGCCCACCAAGGCGACGAUCCGUAGCUUGUCUGAGAGGAUGAUCAGCCACACUGGAACUGAGACACGGUCCAGACUACUACAGGAGGCAGCAGUGGGGAAUAUUGGGCAAUGGGCGCGAGCCUGAUCCAGCCAUACCGCGUGGGUGAAGAAGGCCUUCGGGUUGUAAAGCCCUUUUGUUGGGAAAGAAAAGCAGCAGGUUAAUACCACGCUGUUCUGACGGUACCCAAAGAAUAAGCACCGGCUAACUUCGUG